rnacentral:snoRNA from 1 species
GGCGGUGAUGAUUUCAUGUUAUUUCUGACACCUCUUGUUUGAGCGUCGUGUGGCCACUUCGCGCUGAGCUCAAUUUUAAUUCUGAGUC